AGGCGGCCUCGAGCAGCCCCCGCUGCCGGCUGCGCUGCUCUGCGCCCAAACGGACGUCGUGCCCGGAACCGUGGGCUCAGAGCAGGCACAGCUGGCGGGGAGGGGCCCAGAGCUGCGCCUAC
rnacentral:precursor_RNA from 7 species